rnacentral:tmRNA from 1 species
CGAAGCGUGACUAUGCUUGUAGCAGGCCUCUGGCCGAACUUCUUGGACGCGGGUUCGAUUCCCGCCAUCUCCACAC